rnacentral:rRNA from 1 species
UACGUAGGGGGCAAGCGUUGUCCGGAAUUAUUGGGCGUAAAGAGCGUGUAGGCGGUCCGGUAAGUUAGAGGUGAAAGCCCGGGGCUCAACUCCGGAAUUGCCUUUAAGACUGCAUCGCUAGAAUUGUGGAGAGGUAAGUGGAAUUCCGAGUGUAGAGGUGAAAUUCGUAGAUAUUCGGAAGAACACCAGUGGCGAAGGCGACUUACUGGACACAUAUUGACGCUGAGGUGCGAAAGCGUGGGGAGCAAACAGG